GGGAAUCUACCCAUUUCUGCGGAAUAGCUCUGGGAAACUGGAAUUAAUACCGCAUACGCCCUACGGGGGAAAGAUUUAUCGGGGAUGGAUGAGCCCGCGUUGGAUUAGCUAGUUGGUGGGGUAAAGGCCCACCAAGGCGACGAUCCAUAGCUGGUCUGAGAGGAUGGUCAGCCACAUUGGGACUGAGACACGGCCCAAACUCCUACGGGAGGCAGCAGUGGGGAAUAUUGGACAAUGGGCGCAAGCCUGAUCCAGCCAUGCCGCGUGAGUGAUGAAGGCCUUAGGGUUGUAAAGCUCUUUCACCGGUGAAGAUAAUGACGGUAACCGGAGAAGAAGCCCCGGCUAACUUCGUGCCAGCAGCCGCGGUAAUACGAAGGGGGCUAGCGUUGUUCGGAAUUACUGGGCGUAAAGCGCACGUAGGCGGAUAUUUAAGUCAGGGGUGAAAUCCCAGAGCUCAACUCUGGAACUGCCUUUGAUACUGGGUAUCUUGAGUAUGGAAGAGGUAAGUGGAAUUGCGAGU
rnacentral:rRNA from 1 species